CGAGCACGCGCGUGUGGCAUAUCAAUAAGCGGAGGAAAAGAAACUAACAAGGAUUCCCUUAGUAACGGCGAGUGAAGCGGGAAGAGCUCAAAUUUGAAAUCUUCAAGGUUCUACCUUGACGAAUUGUAGUUUAUAGAAGUGUUUUCUGUUAGUGGAGUGGCAAAAGUUCUUUGGAAUAGGACAUCAUAGAGGGUGAGAAUCCCGUAUUUGGUCAUUCCUCCUAGCGUUGUGAUACACUUUCAACGAGUCGGAUUGUUUGGGAAUGCAGUCCAAGAUGGGUGGUAAAUUUCAUCUAAAGCUAAAUAUUGGCGAGAGACCGAUAGCGAACAAGUACCGUGAGGGAAAGAUGAAAAGAACUUUGAAAAGAGAGUUAAACAGUACGUGAAAUUGUCAAAAGGGAAGCGUUUGACACCAGUGUUGUUUUUCCGAAAAUCAAUUACGAAUGUUUUAUUUUUGAGGAGUUAUGACUUCAUCGGCUUGCUCCUUUCUUUACGAAACUUUCUUAAUGCACUUUUCGGUUAACAAGUCAACAUCAAUUUCUUUUGUUGUAAAAGGGUAUGAGGAAGGUGGCUUUCUUUUCGGAGAAAGUGUUUAUAGCCUUGUGCCUCUGCAAUCGGAGAGAUUGAGGUCUGCAGCGUAGAUCCUUCGGGGUUAGAUACAUUUGUGCUAAGUUAUAGCUUUUCAUAGACAACUUGUUGACUAUGUUUAGUCUUGUAGCUUACUCGCUUAUGCUAUUUUACCUACGCUUAGGAUGUUGAUGUGAUACUGCGAGCA
rnacentral:rRNA from 1 species